CUCAGCGCGCGUGUAGGGAGAAAUGGCGUAGCUAAGCCGCCGCUUAAUUCCCCCGUCCCUCUACUGGCUGCCCGCUCGUGCCGUUCCAGAGGCGGCUGGCUGACGCUUGGGCUGGGAGAGCGGCGGAGCGUAGCCGCUGACUAGAGCAGUCAGACAAGCCUGCCAGAGCCUGUGGUGGGGUGCUGUUAAUGAGCAUUGUAAACCUCUUAAACACAAUCAUGUGGGCUUCACCCUGCAGGCCAUGAGAUGCCAUCGCUAAGGGCCAGGCCAGUCUACCGUUGGCGGGGUGGAGGGCGGAUCGGACCCAUUAACUUUAAACAGCUGGCCCAGCAACAGAGAGGAAACCAGCAAUAACUUUACAUCAGCGGCCCGACUCCUCGGCAGUUUUCCAAGGAAGUAUAAUCAAGCUCACAAGAAUCAUUCUCUGCCCCCCCCCCCCCCACUAUGCACCUGUAAGGCCUCUGCUCCUAAUUUUCUCCCCUUCCGAUUGGAGACACUUUGUGAAAGCUCUCAAAUUCUGGGCUUCACAGUAAAAGGCGAAGGGGCAGCAAAGCAGUAGCGUGAACGAGGUGAUAAUGUCAUUCCCCUGUUCUGAGAUGGCGCCCCCCCCCACUCGCUGGUUGUGCACCUUUUGGCAUUUUUUAAAAUUAUUAUUUUCUCCAGCCAGAUAUUUCCCCUGGACUCGACCUGCAGUAAGACAGGGACGAGCGACCACGAGCCCUGCGGAGCAUGGAUGAGGGGACAAAGCAUCGCGUCCUCAGCUCAGGGGCACGAUACACCAGUUCAAGAUGACCAAGUGACAUCUGCCUUCCCCCCUCAACACUCAUUCACUGGGAGCCUCUCUGACCAUUUAAAAAGAAGAAGACUUGAGCACUGGCUUUGAGUCAGCGGAUGGCAGCGAUGGCGAGGGAAGCCCCUUCUGCAGGCUGGCAGGUAGCCAGGGAGACACAUUCCUGAAGCCGAGCAAACAAUAAACACACCGGCGUCCCCGUCACACCAGUCAAGGUCUGGUCCACCCACGGAGGCAGCAUGGACGGCCCUCUCUAUCUCCGGUUUCACGUUCCUCUAGAGGUAUUUUUUUCAUCCCUUUGCCAGAGGAGCUCCCCAUUGCUUUAGAGACCAACUAAAUAUCUUAAUUACAUUCCAGAUGAACAAAAAGUAAUCCAAUAUGUUUCUCCUUUAUUGUCCCCCUACUAUGUUGUACAAUUUUGCAUUAAUGACUCGCAAUUCAAAAUCAUUGCCGUCUCGCCGUACGAGACGUGACAUCAUCGCGAAAGGCCGCAGGUACGCCUACCAUCAGGCCGUUAACAGGAAAAAUGCCCUAAAAGCAGGACUUCUGUCUGCGACGGAAUGGCACGGAAGAUCCAGAGCCACGUAAGGACAAGGGAAGACUUUAGGAAAACAAAUAACUAAAAGUACACAGGCUGCUACCUGAAGUCGCCACUUUGGAAAGAGAAUACGUCAUGAAGCACAGUCAACGAAGCUUGUAGAAUAUUAUUUUUUGGAUCUGCGCAUAGUUUAAACCCGGGAUGGUGCGGUGUCACCACACACUGUUAUUUUUUAAAUCCAGAACAGGCAGACCCCUUCCACCAAAACCAGAAGUCUGUAUUUUACAGCAUUCCUAGGGCCCAUUAAUGGAGCGCACAUGUAGAUUAGUUAUGGAAUCGAUUAGUUGCGAUGUAUGUGGUCCUUUCAUAUAAUUAUUAAUGGCAUUUGGGGACACAUUUUAAACCAAGGGAAUUGAUCUGCACUGUUCUCACUUUUUCAGUACGGAGGGAACUCUGUUAUUUAAUCAGCGAGCUCCUAGACCCUGGAGCAAAUCAUCAGUCUUACUACGGCAUUCCGACGCGCCUUCACAUUUUAUUCCUCCAACAAGAGCAAAGCGUGCUAUUGUUUUUUUUGGGAUUUUUAUAUCUGGGAAAUACUCACAUAAAAAUAUUGCAGCGGGAAUGGAAAAAAAAAUUGCGAACAUUUAACCCUGUCAGUGCUGUUUUUGAUGCCAGUGCUGGUUCUCUGUGCCAUGUUCCCUGAAUGCUCUUAGUGUUCACUUUGUCAGCUUAUUUAAAAAACUGUCUUAUUAGGUUCUAACUCUGUUUAGAAGCUGUUGUGUAGCUCUUGCUCUAAUACUGCUUACUCUUAUACUUCGGCAUUCAUUGAAAGCUCAGCCUAGCUGCACUUAUUCCCAGUCAACUCCU